GGGGCCGCGGCGGAGGCAGCGCGGCAGUGGGGGUGGCGGCCGGCUAGUCGUUCCACACUCGGCUUCCUCACUCUCUCCGCUCUCCCUCCACCCAGCCUCCCUCGCUCGCUGGCGGCGAGCGAGGGGGGCUGGGCUCGCCGCGCAUUCGUUCCAGAGCCCGCAGCCCGGGCUGUCCCGCGGCCUGGGUGGCGCUCGGGUCCCUUCGCCCGGAGCAAUUCUGCAAGCCCGGGCCGCUGGAUCCCGGGAGGCGACGGGCAGGUGCGGGAUCUCGGCGCGGGCUCCGCAUGGACUCCGCGUGCCAAGCGCCGCACACUCCGGUGCGCGUAAACACGCCUGUUCCGAAGCGUACCUGGAAAGGUGCUUCGUCUACUGUGAGCAAGUUCUAGGAUGGGACCCGGAGCACCGCGCUGGAGAAGCGCGCACACGGCGAGAGGGGUUUGGUGAAAACGCAAAGCUGUAAUUGAAGUUUGUGUGCCCAAGUGUGCGACUUGUCUGUUGGGUCUAUUGGGAAGGUUUGACCGGUCAGUUCUCAUUGCCUGAAAAUAAAGCCUUAGACGGAAUGAAUGUUCACAAA
rnacentral:lncRNA from 1 species